AAUGACAUUAAGAAUGUUUGAACACCUCUUACAAAAGCCCAAUGAGCACAUCCUGUACAACCUGGUCUUAAGAAAUCUUGAAGAAAGAAAUUAUACAGAAUAUAAGCCUCUGUGUCCCGAAGAUAAAGACGUGGUGGAGAAUGGAUUGAUAGCAGGAGCAGUCGACUUGGAGGAAGAUCCACUGUUUACCGAUAUGGCACCAGAAAACUCUCUGCCAAACCAAGAGUGGCUGAGCUCUUCACCCCCUCCGACGCCCGACCACCCCAGGACAGAUGGGAAAACCGAAGUCCACAAAAUUGUCAACAGUUUUCUCUGCCU